rnacentral:rRNA from 1 species
UUCGGAUUGUAGUCUGCAACCCGACUACAUGAAGCUGGAAUCGCUAGUAAUCGCGGAUCAGAAUGCCGCGGUGAAUACGUUCCCGGGUCUUGUACACACCGCCCGUCACACCAUGGGAGUCGGAAAUGCCCGAAGUCUGUGACCUAACCGAGAGGGAGGAGCAGCCGAAGGCAGGUCUGAUGACUGGGGUGAAGUCGUAACAAGGUAGC